UAGUGGCGAACGGGUGAGUAUCGCGUGGGAAUCUACCUAGAAGUGGGGAAUAACUGUUGGAAACGACAGCUAAUACCGCAUAAUCCCUUCGGGGCAAAGGCUUCGGCCGCUUUUAGAUGAGCCCGCGUUAGAUUAGGCUGUUGGUGAGGUAAUGGCUCACCAAACCUACAAUCUAUAGCUGGUCUGAGAGGAUGAUCAGCCACACUGGGACUGAGACACGGCCCAGACUCCUACGGGAGGCAGCAGUAAGGAAUCUUGCACAAUGGAGGAAACUCUGAUGCAGCGAUGCCGCGUGAGUGAAGAAGGCCCUUGGGUUGUAAAGCUCUUUCGUCGGGGAAGAAAAUGACUGUACCCGAAUAAGAAGGUCCGGCUAACUUCGUGCCAGCAGCCGCGGUAAUACGAAGGGACCUAGCGUAGUUCGGAAUUACUGGGCUUAAAGAGUUCGUAGGUGGUUAAAAAAGUUGGUGGUGAAAUCCCAGAGCUUAACUCUGGAACUGCCAUCAAAACUUUUCAGCUAGAGUUUGAUAGAGGAAAGCAGAAUUUCUAGUGUAGAGGUGAAAUUCGUAGAUAUUAGAAAGAAUACCAAUUGCGAAGGCAGCUUUCUGGAUCAUUACUGACACUGAGGAACGAAAGCAUGGGUAGCGAAGAGGAUUAGAUACCCUCGUAGUCCAUGCCGUAAACGAUGUGUGUUAGACGUUGGAAAUUUAUUUUCAGUGUCGCAGCGAAAGCGAUAAACACACCGCCUGGGGAGUACGACCGCAAGGUUAAAACUCAAAUGAAUUGACGGGGACCCGCACAAGUAGUGGAGCAUGUGGUUUAAUUCGAAGAUACGCGCAGAACCUUACCAACACUUGACAUGUUCGUCGCGACUUUAAGAGAUUAAAGUUUUCGGUUCGGCCGGACGAAACACAGGUGCUGCAUGGCUGUCGUCAGCUCGUGUCGUGAGAUGUUGGGUUAAGUCCCGCAACGAGCGCAACCCUCACUUUUAGUUGCCAUCAUUUAGUUGGGCACUCUGAAAGAACUGCCAGUGAUAAGCUGGAGGAAGGUGGGGAUGACGUCAAGUCCUCAUGGCCCUUACGUGUUGGGCUACACACGUGCUACAAUGGUAUCUACAACAGGAAGCAAAACGGCGACGUUAAGCAAAUCCUUAAAAGAUACCUCAGUUCGGAUUGCACUCUGCAACUCGAGUGCAUGAAGCUGGAAUUACUAGUAAUCGUGGAUCAGCGUGCCACGGUGAAUGCGUUCCCGGGUCUUGUACACACCGCCCGUCACACCAUGGGAGUUGGUUCUACCUUAAGGCAAGGUUUAAAAUCCUUGACCACGGUAUAGUCAGCGACUGGGGUGAAGUCAUAACAAGGUAGCCGUA
rnacentral:rRNA from 1 species